CGGGCCUAGGUUGUAGGGGUUUGCAGUCUUGGGGCCACUGUUCAAGCCGCCUUCGCUGGUCGGGUGGGCGUCACCAGGAGGAUGCAGCUUUGCGCCACAGUCAGGGAGGGCGCCCAAAGCCGCGAACAAGGUUCAGCGCCCUGCAAAGCCAACUCGGUCCUAUUCAAACCUCGCGCGCCCAUUGGAACAGCCUCCUGGGGCGGGACAUACGUAAGCCACCUGAGUGGCGGCUCUUGGCUCCAGUGAAUGGCCUGCUUCGUACUAGCUCUGCCCCCACCCCCCAGGAGGGAGGAAUGGCACAGGGGACACGGGUUCGAGCCCUGGUCCCGGAAGAUCCCACAUGCUGCGGAGCAACUAAGCUCAUAUGCCACAACUACUGAGCCUGCGCUCUAGAGUCUGCGAGCCACAACUACUGAGCCUGCGUGCUGCAACUACUGAAGCCCGUGCACCCUAGAGUCCGUGCUCUGCAACAAGAGAAGCCACAGCAAUGAGAAGUCCACGCACCGCAAAGAAGAGCAGCCCCCGCUCGCCACAACUAGAGAAAGCCUGUGUGCAGCAACGAAGACCCAACGCAGCCAAAAAUAAGUAAAUAUAAUAAAUAAAUUUAUUUUUUU